rnacentral:rRNA from 1 species
CGGGGAAUCAGGGUUCGAUUCCGGAGAGGGAGCCCGAGAAACGGCUACCACUUCCAAGGAAGGCAGCAGGCGCGCAACUUACCCUAAUCUCGAUUCGAGGAGGUAGUGACAAGAAAUACCGAUGCGGGACCCUACGGGUGCCGCGUUCGGAAUGAGUACGAUUCGAACCACCUAACGAGGAACGAUCGGAGGGCAAGUCUGGUGCCAGCAGCCGCGGUAAUUCCAGCUCCAAUAGCGUACGUUAAAGUUGCUGCAGUUAAAAAGCUCGUAGUUGAACGUUCGGGUUCCGCGGGACGGGGCCGCCCCGCGAGGGACGGCGCCGCCCCGGGGCUCGUGAUAUCUUAUCUCGCCGCCCGUCGCGAGGCGGACGGAGGGAUGGAUGAGGUUACCUGGAAAAAAUCGGGGCGAUCUAGGCGGGCGAACCUCGCCAACGAACGAUCGGACAUGGGAU